AACGAACGCUGGCGGCAGGCUUAACACAUGCAAGUCGAGCGCCCCGCAAGGGGAGCGGCAGACGGGUGAGUAACGCGUGGGAAUCUACCCAUCCCUACGGAAUGACGCAUGGAAACGUGUGCUAAUACCGUAUACGUCCUUCGGGAGAAAGAUUUAUCGGAGAUGGAUGAGCCCGCGUUGGAUUAGCUAGUUGGUGGGGUAAGGCCUACCAAGGCGACGAUCCAUAGCUGGUCUGAGAGGAUGAUCAGCCACACUGGGACUGAGACACGGCCCAGACUCCUACGGGAGGCAGCAGUGGGGAAUAUUGGACAAUGGGCGCAAGCCUGAUCCAGCCAUGCCGCGUGAGUGAUGAAGGCCCUAGGGUUGUAAAGCUCUUUCACCGGUGAAGAUAAUGACGGUAACCGGAGAAGAAGCCCCGGCUAACUUCGUGCCAGCCGCCGCCGUAAUAC
rnacentral:rRNA from 1 species